UUCAUUCAACUCUUCAUCCACCUUGAAGAAAUCUAAAAGGGGCUUCUUCAUUUGAGUAAAGUGUAUUUAAUGUUAUAUUCGCUCAUUUAAGGAGCUAUUCUUGUACUUAUUUGUGCUCUAAACUGUCUUACUCUUUGUGAGUAAUUGUUCUUAUUUUUGGAGGAUUUCCAAAACAAGGGAAGGUUGAUCCGAACCUGAAAUCGGAGUAUAUUGGGUUGGCUUGUACCUGAAAAACAAGUGGACUAGCUUGGGAUAGCUAGUGUCGGAGUUUCCGACGUUUGUAUUCGGGUUGAAUACAAGUAUAGUGGAUUGGAAUUCCCAAGUAGGAGCUUGG
rnacentral:lncRNA from 1 species